AACCGGUUCUCCUUUUGUUUUUUAUUUUUAUUUUUUUUACAUUUUCUAACACAAAGAGCACUGGUUACCCGGUUUCCUUUAUUUUUUAAUUUCUAACCCAGUUAAUCUCUCUCAUCUGGUUCUCUUUCUCAUCUCUCGUUCUCUGAUUCUCUCUCAUCUGCCUCUCUCUCACAUCUUCCUCUAUCCCUGGUUCUCUCAUGCAUUCUGUUUACUUUUUGUUCUCAUUCUCAAUAACCAUUGCUGAUGUCCUUCAAAAACCGCCAGCAAUUUGAACAAGGACAGUCAUCAUCGUCGUCGCCGUUAAUAAUGGAGCAAUUGAAGUAAUAUCAUGUUGAGUCAGCUGCUGGAAGCAACACGUAGGCAAACGAAAUGUUAGCGCUGCUCCUUAUAUGAAGUUACCCUGUUAGUUAGUCUGUAGGUAGUUGGUGAUUUGAAUUUGUUGAUAUCGGCAACAACCAUGUCAACAGUAACAUGUUGUCAAAGAUUUGCAGGUCUUGGUGAUUUGAAUCAUUUGAUAUCAAGUUGUUCAUGCCCUUCACAGUUCACACAAGAGUGAAUCAGCUCUCCACGUUAUUCUGCUUCUGUGCUGCUGCUUUCGCUUUUGUCCUGUUGUUCUACUUCUGUGAUGCUCCUUCUGUGCUGCUGCUUUCGCUUCUGUCCUGUUGUUCUACUUCUGUUAGGGGUGAGCAUAGGAUAGGUACCCGUACCGUUAGUAAUAACUGUUCGGGUACCCGAUAACCAAUAUCACUAAAAGUGAUAUCCAUAACCCAAACCGAUAAGUUCGGGUACCCGGAUUUCGAGUACCCGAAUUUUCGGAACGGUUAUCGGGUACCCUAUAAAGUAUCCAAUAGUGAUAAUUAAACUUAAAAAAUUAGUUAUUAUGAUAUUUUUUAACACUAAUUAACAACAAUACCACAUGAUCACCACAUGAUCUUGAACAAAUUAUUAAUAACGUUACUAAUUAUUGAUAUUUAUAGUGAUUAUGAAGUAAUGUAAGAGUUUAAAUAUUGAAAAGAUAGAUUUAAGUAAGAAAAAAAAAUUGCUUAUCGGAACGGAACGGAUACCUGUUAAUUUUAAAAUGAUACCCAAAAACCAUACCCGAUAACAAAUUAUCGGAACGGGUACCCUAAUUUUCGGAACGGUAACGGAACGGGUUUUCGGUUUUUCGGGUAGUUUUGCUCAGCCCUAACUUCUGUGAUGCUCCUUCUGUGCUGCGCACUUCUGAUAUUGCUCUUUAUGUAUAGGUGGAUUUGGUGAUGUCUAUAAGGGUAAUUUAGAUGAAAGUUUCCCAUAUACAAAAUGUUUAGUGCGUGUUUAAUAUACAUGUUGCUACAUAUGUUGCUCUAUGUGUGUAACUUGUAUUUUAUUUUAUUUUUUUGGACUAAAAUUGUAAUAUUAUAGCCUUUUUAAAAUGAAGAUAUGUAAGUUUAUAUA